GUCCGCGUAGCUCAGCAGGAUAGAGCGACCGCCUCCUAAGCGGUAGGUCGUGCGUUCGAAUCGCAUCGUGGACG
rnacentral:tRNA from 1 species